UAAGAAGAAUUGUUAUUAUAAUUAGUGUCAACGGUGAUAGACAACCUUUUUGCAACUCUCUCUGAGAAACAUUUGUGAAAUAUGUCCUGAAAACAGUCUGGCUACUGACUAACUGUCAAACACAGACUCAAAUACCUGUAGCCCUCAAAUACAGAUUUCUGCCUUCUGAGUGCUUUUGCUUCCUUUCUGAAACCUGUCAAGCAACCUUGCCACUUAUUUCCUUCUUCCCCUCCUCUCCCCCUGACCCAACAUGACAUAUCCUUACAGAACAGUUUAAGACUCGUUCCUCUGUGAGGACUCUUCUCUUCUCUGAUCUUUUGUGUUUGUAAUCAGACUCUAUAAGUGAGCUGUAGGUUUAGUUUGUUUUCCCAUUGAUUCAUAUGGUUUAGUCUUCUCUCCCUAGGUAUACUGUAAACUUCUUUAGGGCCACAAAACACAUUAAUUGAUUAAUAGACCCUGACAAAAUUAUUCUUCUUUUAUGUAUUCAGGCAGAACAGAAGAACUUUUGCAUCAUAAAACAUAUGCAUGUGUGCACACAUUUUUACAUCAGAAAUCACUGGAGAUUCAGACCAAUAUUAUGAAAGAAGUCAGACUUCCUCCGAUGUAUCACUGUUGGCUUCUGGCUCCCCUUAACUUGACAUUCUUGAGCUACUCCAUUUGUCUGAUCCAAUUUUGGUUCUAACUGAAUUGUGUGCCUUGUACAUCCUUCUGGACAGUCGAGAUUAAAAAGGAAACAGCAAGAGCAAGAGAAAUCAGGCCGAGAAAAUUUGCAAGAACAGGUUUGUUAUUUUUCUACCAAUCACCUCAGUCCUAUCGACCUUUCCUUCAAUUUAAGCUCUUCUGGUCUAUUCUGCUUUGCUGUUUACUCUCUGUGCUGAUGCAUUUUCAUUUCUGCUCUUUUUAUUGACUUUUGGUUCCCAUUCCACUCAAGGUCAUGGCUCCCUGACUACCUUCUCCCCCACCCUUAACAGGAGGCUGGGUCUUCAUGUACAAAACUAAGAGCGCUAACCCAGUUAUCCAAAUAGUUGAGAUAAAAGCAUUUAUGCAUCCGAAUCAUCCAUCUAAUUGAUUCUUUUUUCCACUUUACUUAUCACAUCUGUCCUGUGAAUACUGUCAGUCACAUUCCAGCUGAAGCCAUAAUUACGCCCAUGAAUGUUCACUCCAUUCAGUCAAACAAUCAAUUUAACUGACUUUUCCCCCUCGCUGACUUGACUGGUCAGUGGGAGUGACAGAUUAGUUGUUUCAGAGUCUUACAGGAACGGCCUUCGAAUUUAUGUUAUAAAAGCAUGUCUUAAAGCUAGUUCUGGGAGG
rnacentral:lncRNA from 1 species